AAUAGAUACCCGGGUAGUCCAUGCCGUAAACGUUGGGAACUAGAUGUAGGGACCAUUCCACGGUUUCUGUGUCGCAGCUAACGCAUUAAGUUCCCCGCCUGGGGAGUACGGCCGCAAGGCUAAAACUCAAAGGAAUUGACGGGGGGCCCGCACAAGCGGCGGAGCAUGCGGAUUAAUUCGAUGCAACGCGAAGAACCUUACCAAGGCUUGACAUAUACCGGAAAAGUUCAGAAAUGUUCUCCCCGCAAGGUCGGUAUGCAGGUGGUGCAUGGUUGUCGUCAGCUCGUGUCGUGAGAUGUUGGGUUAAGUCCCGCAACGAGCGCAACCCUCGUUCUAUGUUGCCAGCACGUAAUGGUGGGAACUCAUAGGAGACUGCCGGGGUCAACUCGGAGGAAGGUGGGGAUGACGUCAAAUCAUCAUGCCCCUUAUGUCUUGGGCUUCACGCAUGCUACAAUGGCCGAUACAAAGGGCUGCAAUACCGUAAGGUGGAGCGAAUCCCGAAAAAGUCGGUCUCAGUUCGGAUUGAGGUCUGCAACUCGACCU
rnacentral:rRNA from 1 species